rnacentral:RNase_P_RNA from 1 species
CAGGAAAAUCCAAUACUUUUUAAGCAUACAUACUUAAAUAUCAAACAUAUUAAUGAUAUAAGGAAUUUAACAGAAACUAAAAAUUAAUUAAAACGUUAACGUAAUAUUAAAUGUGAAAAAUAAUCCUAUGCUUAGUAUUUAUUUAGAAUUAUUAAAAUUUCAAACAGAAACCGGGUUAA